UCCAGUGAAUGAUGGCCUGUUUGGGGAC
rnacentral:piRNA from 1 species